rnacentral:rRNA from 1 species
GACGAACGCUGGCGGCGUGCCUAACACAUGCAAGUGGAGCGACGAACCAGACUUCGGUCUGGGGCCAAGCCGCGAACGGGUGAGUAACACGUGGGUAACCUGCCCCGAUGAUCGGGACAACCCGGGGAAACCCGGGCUAAUACCGAAUGUGGUCGCGGUCCGUGAGGACCGUGACGAAAGGAAGCUUCGGCCUCCGCAUCGGGAUGGGCCCGCGGCCCAUUAGCUUGUUGGUGGGGUAAUGGCCUACCAAGGCAUCGAUGGGUAGCUGGUCUGAGAGGACGAUCAGCCACACUGGGACUGAGACACGGCCCAGACUCCUACGGGAGGCAGCAGUGGGGAAUCUUGCGCAAUGCGCGAAAGCGUGACGCAGCAACGCCGCGUGGGGGAAGAAGGCUCUCGGGUCGUAAACCCCUUUCAGUUGGGACGAAGCUUCGCCGGUGAAUAGCCGGCCGGAGUGACGGUACCUUCACAAGAAGCCCCGGCUAACUACGUGCCAGCCGCCGCAGUAAGAC